AUAAUCACAAUUAAAAGAAAAAAGUUAAAAAAAUGGAGGUGUUUAAUAAGAAAAUAACAUCUCCAUUCUUUACUUUCUUGUUUAUUUCUUCUCUUCUGCUUAUUCAAUGUUUUCCAUAUGUUUUAUCACAGCCUCUUGAAGACGAAGAAUGGCCAACACUACAACCUCAUAAAGGAGCCGGGGGCGGGGGGGCCACGGUAAUGGCCACAGGGUGCCCGGUAAAAAAAAAAUGCCUCGAGCCCCUCCGGUCCCGGGAAAGCCAGACCUACAACUUCCAAAUGGACCAAAUCCUACUACUACUACUACUACAACACCCCAAAAAAAGAAAUUUUGCCUAUCCAAACUACAUGUUUCAGAGUCAGAAAUGAAGGCCAAUUUAAAUUGGGCUUGCAAAUAUGGACGUGUGGAUUGUCGCCCAAUUAAUCCUGGAGGAGGUGAAUGUUUUUGACAACAGUACACUUAGGUCUCGUGCAGCCUGGGCUAUGAAUUCUUACUAUCAUGGCCUGGGUCGUGGAAAUGACGCGACUUGUAAUUUUUGGGGCACCGCUGCCAUCGUCGACCUUGAUCCAAGUUAUGGUUCAUGCAACUACCAAUCUUUAAGUUUUAUGGCCCCCCAAAAGGAAGAUUUUGUAGCUACUCCAACAUUUGAAGAAUUAGUCUUGAAAUAUUAAUAUUUUUAUUUUAAAUUAUGUAUUUUAAUUUGCAAAAACUAAUCUAAUUAUGUGGUCGUGUAGUUUGUGGUUAUCGUAAAUAAAAAAAGAAGAUCGUUGCCUA